ensembl:lncRNA
GCAGGGUAAAGAAUUGUAAAGUAAGGGAGAGUAAAGGAUUGUAAAGUAAGGGAGAGUAAAGAAUUGUAAAGUAAGGUAAGAUAAAGUAAGGCAGGGUAAAGGAUUAUAAAGUAAGGGAGAGUAAAGAAUUGUAAAGUAAGGUAAGAUAAAGUAAGGGAGAGUAAAGAAUUGUAAAGUAAGGUAAGAUAAAGUAAGGGAGAGUAAAGUAAGGCAGGGAAACAGACAGACAGGAUUAGUGAAUCCAUUAAUUGAAUCUUCCUCCAAUUCAUGACAGAUUUUUUUUGUUUAGUCUGUCUGUCUCUCUCUCUCUCUCUCUCUCUCUCUCUCUCUCUCUCUCUCCAAACCACACACUAACAAAACCUCUCAAAAGUCUGUAACCUUGAAAUAUGCACAACACACACACACGCACGCACACACACAAACACACGUGAGAACGGAAGAAGGUAUGUAGUAUUAAAGCGCUCAUUUGUCUUUUUCACACUCAACCGCUCUUGAGCUCAAUUAUACAACCUCGCCUGUGUGUGUGUGUGUGUGUGUGUGUGUGUGUGUGUGUGUGUGUGUGUGUGUGUGUGUGUGUGUGGUGAGAGAGAUGUGGAGUUUGUGUGUGAGCGAGAGGGCUGUUGGUUGAUUAUUAGCUUAACUGUAAUGACAGUGCCGUCACUGAUCAUUACUCAUCCUCCUUUGAACACACUCACACACACACACACACUUUUCUCCUUCUGCUGGACAAGAGACGUACAAAGCACAGAUUCCCUCACACACACAAACCAACUCUCACACACAUCCACGAUACAGCAUCUCAGCAGUGAGCUUUGCAUUGUGG